AGCAGCACAUCCGGCCGGUAAAAAACCGACUUGAGAGUGGAGCUACUUUAAGCGUUUUAAAUCAUUUUCUGGUCCACAUAACCUCAAACAACUGUUUCUUAUUCCAAAAAUAGUUGUUUGAGGUUAGGUUAGAACAUCCAGAAAUAAAUUUUCAACCCGAUGAUUUCGCACAAUCAAUUAGCGAUUAUGUUUAGCGGUUAUGUUUAACCUCUUGCAACGUCCAAUCACGUGAUUACUGGGACAUCUCAAAGGCGAAAGUAGAUCUCAGUUACAGGAUGUUCCUGAGCACAAUAUCGGUACUGGUAAAUGUAAUUGAAUUUGGAAUAAGCUGGUAUCUGCGAGCGAGAGAGUAAGUGCCGUUGGCAAUGAGGUUAAGCGCUCUCCACUAUGUGCGAUAAUUAAAUUACAUGCCCCUGGCCCUUGUCGAGUCAUCCGAGGGAGACUGUACUCAGCACGCGAUGUCACCCGUAUACUAUUAACUACCAAUGAUAUCGAUAAUUAAAUGCUCCGUAUUAUUGUUUUUUUAUAAUAACUUUCAUAGGGGUACGCAUGAAUUGUUCAAAUGGGGAUCUAUAAUGAGUUCCUUGAAUAGUUUCAAUUCUCUACUGGGGUAAUUACUCCAGCACAGACCUGAAACUAUUCAUUCACUCGACCCUCAUUAGUUGGAGUAACUGGCCAAUACAUAGAUGGUCGCAAUUGAUGAUUAUUCGAACAAAUUAAUGCUUUUGCAUUUUUGGGGUGUGUGUUGGGGAUUUUUUAACGUAAAAACUGUGGGAACGGCCUCUGGGAGAUCGCGGGACCCCUAGAUUAGUAAUAAUUCGGCUGAAAACUCCAAGAGACUUUGAAUUAUGAAGUUAGCUUAAUUAUCAUUGGAGAUUUCCGCGAAAAACCGACGUCAUCUGGACUCUCGCAAGUGGUAAAUGGACGAGGGUUGAAAAUAGGUCUGUUAAAGGUUUAUUCAAAAUUCCAAAUGUUGGAUUAACCGCUAAUCAUUGCUUCCUUACACCGAACAAAGUUUUUCCCUCUUAUCAGCAAAUGCAUUUAUCCCAUUUUAUUGAUUGGAGUAUACAACGUAAAAUGGUAAAUCUAAUAAAAACUACAUUCCUAUCCCCCUUGGACUGGUAUUUUUCAAAUGCAACUCGACUAGCGAUGAAUAAACUGGAUUACCGGUACUCCAGUGUCAAAAGACGACGUGAUUUUCCCUUUCCUAAAGAGAUGAAAAAAAUUGUGAAGGGACAGGGGGUGAUGAAAAGCAAGGAUACGUAACGAGAUUGGGUCUUUCGAGACUCAUAUCGUGGAACUCUCUGAGGGGAUGAAAUGAGAAUCGAGAAACACGAUUUCUGCGUUAUUGGAUUCCGCUGUUAUUAAAAAGUUCAUGCGCUGAGGUAAACAGAGCUCAAUGCAAAGGGAAACUGAUCUGUUUUUGCUCAAGGAGAUGUUUCAUGAUUUAAUCUUGAAUUCAAG